rnacentral:tRNA from 1 species
CCCGGUGGCUCAGCUGGUAGAGCGACGGACGAGGAUAAAAACCUCGGUUGAACCUUGUAUUGAUUUAAAGGAAAGCCGUAGGUCGCGGGUUCGAAACCCGCCCGGGG